ACACAUUAAAUAAAGAAGCGGUAAAUGUAAAAUGGUGCAGAGACACGAUUUACCAAAGAGACAUAUUUUAAUAUAGUAACAUUGUAAUAAUAAUUAUACUUACUAUAAGUGUUUCUUUACACUCUAAUUCUACAUAUUUUUGGUGCGUUUCAUCAAUGAAUGCUAAGAGGAAACACGUUCAUAACUGCAUAAAUAUUAUUUUUGCUAUCAAUUACUUUUCGCUAUUAUACAAAGAAAAUACCUGGACAUUUAACUAAACCAUAUGUGAACGUAUUUCGUUUACUGACACGUUUACGACGACAUAAUUCCAGCGAAAUGUGGAAGACCUUUCAUGUUGUCAUCAACACUUGACUCGUCUACAUUGCUCUCAAGCCUGUGUACCUUAUCAUCCGACUUGACGCACGGCUAUAUAGUUGUCACAAAAUCCCAGUAGCUUCAAUGUAACAAAUAAACGGAAAAUUAUUUUAUUUCGACGUUAAAUUUAAA